CCUCCCAAUUCCAGGCUUGGCUCCCUAUGCAUUGAGCCUCCUAGAUGUUUGAGCUUUCUACUCCCCCUCUGCCCUUCAGCAACCAGAAAGACUCUGUCAGUUUAGAAUUCAGUGAGGCAAAUUGUAGGUAAAAGUUUGCUAUUGUUGUAAUAGAAUAUUUUUGUGAGAUGAGAGGCAAUAUGAUAUAGUGGAUAGAAAUGAAAAGGAAAAGAACAAACAGAUUCAUUAAUCACUUACUAUGUUCCAGGUACUCUGAAAAGUCUUUUUACAAAUGUCUCAUUUGAUCCUCACAACCAUCCUGGGAGUUACUUGCAGAGUCAGUGGGACAUUUCAACACUUGUCAGACGUUCCUAAAGACCUUGGGGGCAGCUAGGUGGUACAGUGGAUAGAAUGCCAAGCCACUAGCUAUGUGACCCUGGCUUAUGGGCCCAUGGAAGAAACUAUCAAGUGUUUGUGGACCCCAGAUGAAGAAAUCCUGCCCCCAAAGUACUUCAUGG
rnacentral:lncRNA from 1 species